rnacentral:rRNA from 1 species
CACAAGCGGAGGAGCAUGUGGUUUAAUUCGAUGAUACGCGAGGAACCUUACCUGGGCUCGAACGUAAGAUGACUGUAGGUGAAAGCUUACAUCUCUUCGGAGCAUUUUACGAGGUGCUGCAUGGCUGUCGUCAGCUCGUGUCGUGAGAUGUUGGGUUAAGUCCCGCAACGAGCGCAACCCUUGCCUUUAGUUGCCAGCAGUUCGGCUGGGCACUCUAAAGGGACUGCCGGUGUUAAACCGGAGGAAGGUGGGGAUGACGUCAAGUCCUCAUGGCCUUUAUGACCAGGGCUACACACGUACUACAAUGGCCGAUACAAAGGGCAGCGACACUGCGAGGUGAAGCCAAUCCCGUAAAAUCGGUCUCAGUCCGGAUUGGAGUCUGCAACUCGACUCCAUGAAGUUGGAAUCGCUAGUAAUCGUGGAUCAGCAUGCCACGGUGAAUACGUUCCCGGGCCUU